GUGGAGGAUUUUAAUCUGUUAUACACUGAUAUCCAUGUGUCUGGAAUGUUGGAGGCAACUCUAUUUGAAGCAAGGGGUUGGGCACUCAAGAGACCAUCUUCUGUUUAAUCUAGAGGAAUUGUAUGUUUCCACAUAUGCUGGACAAUGGGCAGAAAGUGGAGACGCAAAGAACUUGCGAUAUGACCGAGAUCUGUUAUUGCCCUCCCUUGACUGA
rnacentral:lncRNA from 1 species